UAGACUGGGAAAAAGCCCAGUCUCGGGAGACAACACAGGGGUCGUAAACGUCAAACAAACACUAGGGGCACAGGCUGUGCACCAAAAUACAUCAAACCACGUUCCAGCCAAUUACAGACAAGUGUUGCACUAACCUCCACCCCCUCGCCCAACCAUCUUGUCGGUGAGUGGCUGGAUCGUGGUUUGUUGUAUUUUGGUGCACAGGCUUUGCCUCUAGUGUUU